AUACAUGCAAGUCGAACGAGACCUUCGGGUCUAGUGGCGCACGGGUGCGUAACGCGUGGGAAUCUGCCCUUGGGUUCGGAAUAACUUCGGGAAACUGAAGCUAAUACCGGAUGAUGACGAAAGUCCAAAGAUUUAUCGCCCAGGGAUGAGCCCGCGUAGGAUUAGCUAGUUGGUAGGGUAAAGGCUCACCAAGGCAACGAUCCUUAGCUGGUCUGAGAGGAUGAUCAGCCACACUGGGACUGAGACACGGCCCAGACCCCUACGGGAGGCAGCAGUAGGGAAUAUUGGACAAUGGGCGAAAGCCUGAUCCAGCAAUGCCGCGUGAGUGAUGAAGGCCUUAGGGUUGUAAAGCUCUUUUACCCGAGAUGAUAAUGACAGUAUCGGGAGAAUAAGCUCCGGCUAACUCCGUGCCAGCAGCCGCGGUAAUACGGAGGGAGCUAGCGUUGUUCGGAAUUACUGGGCGUAAAGCGCACGUAGGCGGCGAUUUAAGUCAGAGGUGAAAGCCCGGGGCUCAACCCCGGAACUGCCUUUGAGACUGGAUUGCUAGAAUCUUGGAGAGGCGAGUGGAAUUCCGAGUGUAGAGGUGAAAUUCGUAGAUAUUCGGAAGAACACCAGUGGCGAAGGCGGCUCGCUGGACAAGUAUUGACGCUGAGGUGCGAAAGCGUGGGGAACAAACAGGAUUAGAUACCCUGGUAGUCCACGCCGUAAACGAUGAUAACUAGCUGCCGGGGCACAUGGUGUUUCGGUGGCGCAGCUAACGCAUUAAGUUAUCCGCCUGGGGAGUACGGUCGCAAGAUUAAAACUCAAAGGAAUUGACGG
rnacentral:rRNA from 2 species